rnacentral:RNase_P_RNA from 2 species
GGAAGUAGACUAUGCGAUCGCUGGAUCUUAACUGAUCUGGAGGAAAGUCCGAACACUACAGGGCAGGACGCUCCAUAACGUGGAGUCGCGGCAACGUGAAGGAAAGUGCAGCAGAGAAUAGACCGCCCUGUUGUUUCUUCGGAAACGGCAGGGUAAGGGUGAAACGGUGCGGUAAGAGCGCACCAGUUCUCCGGGUGACCGGAGAAGCUUGGUAAACCCCGUCCAGUGCAAGACCAAAUAGAGAAGCGUUUGAGGGCUGCCCGUCCGAGCUUCCGGGUAGGUUGCAUGAGGUGUGCGGCAACGUACAUCCAAGAUGAAUGAUCGUGGCCCUGUGGCAGGCAACUGCCCCGGGGUACAAAAUUCGGCUUACUGGCUGCUUUCACCG